rnacentral:piRNA from 1 species
UGGCAUUACCAGGUUCUGUGUUAUUCUGCA